rfam:Picea glauca, whole genome shotgun sequence.
AUAACGGUGUCUUUAGACACCACCUUUUUCCUUCGAAAAAUUAUUU